rnacentral:rRNA from 1 species
GGUAAGUUCCGACCCGCACGAAAGGCGUAAUGAUUUGAGCGCUGUCUCGACAAUGCAUCCGGUGAAAUUGAAGUACCAGUGAAGAUGCUGGUUACCUGCGCCAGGACGGAAAGACCCCAUGGAGCUUUACUCCAGUCUGGUACUGGGACUCGGUAUUGCAUGUACAGGAUAGGUGGGAGGCUAGGAGAUGGUAACGCCAGUUGCCAUGGAGCCGCUGUUGGGAUACCACCCUUGCAGUAUUGGGUUUCUAACCAGCCGCCGUGACCCGGCGGUGGGACAAUGCCAGACGGGGAGUUUGACUGGGGCGGUCGCCUCCGAAAGGGUAUCGGAGGCGCCCAAAGGUUCCCUCAGAAUGGACGGAAACCAUUCGAAGAGUGCAAAGGCAGAAGGGAGCUUGACUGCGACACCGACGGGUGGAGCAGGUACGAAAGUAGGGCUUAGUGAUCCGGUGGUAUUAAGUGGGAAUGCCAUCGCUCAACGGAUAAAAGCUACCCUGGGGAUAACAGGCUUAUCACUCCCAAGAGUUCACAUCGACGGAGUGGUUUGGCACCUCGAUGUCGGCUCAUCGCAUCCUGGGGCUGUAGUAGGUCCCAAGGGUUGGGCUGUUCGCCCAUUAAAGCGGUACGCGAGCUGGGUUCAGAACGUCGUGAGACAGUUCGGUCCCUAUCCGGCGUGGGCGUAGGAUAUCUGAGAGGAGCUGUCCUUAGUACGAGAGGACCGGGAUGGACGGGCCGCUGGUGCAUCGGUUAGACUGCCAAGUCUACGGCCGAGUAGCCAAGCCCGGAAGGGAUAAACGCUGAAGGCAUCUAAGCGUGAAGCCCCCCUUAAGAUGAGAUAUCCCAUUCGAAAGAAGUAAACCCCCUUGAAGACGACGAGGUAGAUAGGGCAGAGGUGGAAGUGUGGCAACACAUGGAGCUGACUGUUACUAAUCGGGUGAGGGCUUGACCAA